rnacentral:rRNA from 1 species
UACGGAGGUGGCAAGCGUUGCUCGGAAUCACUGGGCGUAAAGGGCGCGUAGGCGGGGAGGUAAGUCGGGUGUGAAAUCCCUCGGCCCAACUGAGGAACUGCGCCCGAGACUGCUUCUCUUGAGUCCCGGAGAGGAAGAUGGAAUUCCCGGUGUAGCGGUGAAAUGUGUAGAGAUCGGGAGGAACACCGGUGGCGAAGGCGGUCUUCUGGACGGUGACUGACGCUGAGGCGCGAAGGUCAGGGGAGCAAACGGG